rnacentral:rRNA from 1 species
UACGAAGGGUGCAAACGUUGCUCGGAAUCAUUGGGCGUAAAGCGCACGUAGGCGGCUUCGCAAGUCGGAUGUGAAAUCCCUCGGCUCAACCGAGGACGUGCAUCCGAAACUGCGGAGCUUGAGUACUGAAGAGGAUCGCGGAAUUCCCGGUGUAGAGGUGAAAUUCGUAGAUAUCGGGAGGAACACCAGUGGCGAAGGCGGCGACCUGGUCCUUGACUGACGCUGAGGCGCGAAAGCGUGGGGAGCAAACAGG